UUAUGUGGACAGCUCAGUGGGUGAGUGGGGAGACAUGUCCUUCCUGAUCAGUGAGGUGUUCCAGCCGUCCUCCAGAAGACACUGUCUUACAUUCUGGUAUCACAUGUAUGGCAGCCACGUCGGGACCCUCAGAGUCUACAUAAACGACAGGAAAAUGCAUGAUGGGGGCAACGAGGAAGGACUUCUGCAGUGGAUUGAAACUGG